rnacentral:rRNA from 1 species
CACGUAGGGCGCAAGCGUUGUCCGGAAUCAUUGGGCGUAAAGAGCGUGUAGGCGGUCCGGUAAGUCCGCUGUGAAAGUCGGGGGGCUCAACCCUCGAAUGCCGGUGGAUACUGUCGGGCUAGAGUGCGGAAGAGGCGAGUGGAAUUCCUGGUGUAGCGGUGAAAUGCGCAGAUAUCAGGAGGAACACCUAUUGCGAAGGCAGCUCGCUGGGACGUUACUGACGCUGAGACGCGAAAGCGUGGGGAGCAAACAGG